ACUGAUUUAUUGACCAAUUUUUUCUGGAAAAAGGAGAAGCUGAGACGGGAAAUUGGAAUCGGAUGCG
ensembl:ncRNA C52D10.130 ncRNA